CACGUAGGGGGCAAGCGUUGUCCGGAAUCAUUGGGCGUAAAGAGCUCGUAGGCGGCGCGGUAAGUCGGGUGUGAAAUCUCGGGGCUUAACUCCGAAACUGCAUUCGAUACUGCCGUGCUUGAGGACUGGAGAGGAGACUGGAAUUUACGGUGUAGCGGUGAAAUGCGUAGAUAUCGUAAGGAAGACCAGUGGCGAAGGCGGGUCUCUGGACAGUUCCUGACGCUGAGGCACGAAGGUCAGGGGAGCAAACGGG
rnacentral:rRNA from 1 species